rnacentral:lncRNA from 1 species
GCUUGGCAGCGGUAGCUUUUGGCUUGACAGUUGCAACCGGCUUAGACUUGACAGGAGCAGCAGCUUUGGGCUUUGGAGCAGCAGCCUUCGGCUUUGCAGCAGGUUUCGGCUUAGGCUUUGGCUUUGCUGCAGCAGCCUUUGGCUUCGCCGGAGCUUUGCUUGCUGGCUUAGUCGUUUUGCCUCCCUUAGGCUUCGCAGCAGCUUUAGCCUUGGGCUUGGCGGCGGCCACUGGCUUCUUCUUCACCGGAGAAGCAGGCUUAGGUGCCGCGGCGGACCUAGCAGAAGGAAGCUUGAAUGAACUUUUGACCUUGACGAGCUUAUCGGAAGAAACAAGCUUCUUCAAAUGGUAAAGUAGAAGCUUCUUGAAGUUUGGAGGGAGUUGCUUGUGCUUUUCUUCAAUGAACUUGGUGAUCGCAUACUGGCUCGAACCAGUUCUCUCUUUCAAAGUCACAAUCGCAUCCUUAACCAUCU